UCUAUAUGAAAAAAGAUGUCAGAUAUUUAUAGAUCAUAAGAGUUUGAAGUAUGUGUUAACCUUAAAGGAGCUAAACCUUAGGCAAAGGAGGUGGAUUGAACUUAUUAAAUGUUGGAUGUAUGCCCUAUAAGCCAAUCUUGACUGAUGUAUAUCAUAUUACUAAGACAUGAUUUUGUACUUAAUGGGCAUUUAUAUUACCAUUCAUAUUUUAUGUGUCUAUGAAUCAUUCAAGAAAUUA
rnacentral:lncRNA from 1 species